CCUACGGGUGGCAGCAGUGGGGAAUAUUGGACAAUGGGGGGAACCCUGAUCCAGCCAUGCCGCGUGUGUGAAGAAGGCCCUCGGGUUGUAAAGCACUUUCAGUGAGGAAGAACGCCUGGUGGUUAAUACCCAUCAGGAAAGACAUCACUCACAGAAGAAGCACCGGCUAACUCCGUGCCAGCAGCCGCGGUAAUACGGAGGGUGCGAGCGUUAAUCGGAAUUACUGGGCGUAAAGCGCGCGUAGGUGGCUUGAUAAGCCGGUUGUGAAAGCCCCGGGCUCAACCUGGGAACGGCAUCCGGAACUGUCAAUCUAGAGUGCAGGAGAGGAAGGGAGAAUUCCCGGUGUAGCGGUGAAAUGCGUAGAGAUCGGGAGGAAUACCAGUGGCGAAGGCGGCCUUCUGGCCUGACACUGACACUGAGGUGCGAAAGCGUGGGUAGCAAACAGGAUUAGAUACCCUGGUAGUC
rnacentral:rRNA from 1 species